UUUAAACCCUAAUUAUGGGUGUUCCCUUCUAUCA
rnacentral:tRNA from 1 species